CCUACGGGAGGCAGCAGUGGGGAAUGUUGCACAAUGGGGGAAACCCUGAUGUAGCGAUGCCGCGUGGAGGAAGAAGGUUUUCGGAUUGUAAACUCCUUUUAUCAGGGACGAUAAUGACGGUACCUGAAGAAAAAGCUCCGGCUAACUACGUGCCAGCAGCCGCGGUAAUACGUAGGGAGCGAGCGUUGUCCGGAAGUACUGGGUUUAAAGGGUGCGCAGGCGGAAGAUCAAGUCAGCGGUAAAAUUGAGAGGCUCAACCUCUUCGAGCCGUUGAAACUGGUUUUCUUGAGGGAGCGAGAAGUAUGCGGAAUGCGUGGUGUAGCGGUGAAAUGCAUAGAUAUCACGCAGAACUCCGAUUGCGAAGGCAGCAUACCGGCGCUCAACUGACGCUCAUGCACGAAAGUGUGGGUAUCGAACAGGAUUAGAUACCCCUGUAGUC
rnacentral:rRNA from 1 species